GAUGAACGCUGGCGGCGUGCCUAAUACAUGCAAGUCGAGCGAACAGACGAGGAGCUUGCUCCUCUGACGUUAGCGGCGGACGGGUGAGUAACACGUGGAUAACCUACCUAUAAGACUGGGAUAACUUCGGGAAACCGGAGCUACUACCGGAUAAUAUAUUGAACCGCAUGGUUCAAUAGUGAAAGACGGCUUUGGUGUUACAUUUAGACGGAUCCGCGCCGCAUUAGCUAGUUGGUAAGGUAACGGCUUACCAAGGCAACGAUGCGUAGCCGACCUGAGAGGGUGAUCGGCCACACUGGAACUGAGACACGGUCCAGACUCCUACGGGAGGCAGCAGUAGGGAAUCUUCCGCAAUGGGCGAAAGCCUGACGGAGCAACGCCGCGUGGGUGAAGAAGGUCUUCGGAUCGUAAAACUCUGUUAUUAGGGAAGAACAAAUGUGUAAGUAACUAUGCAUGUCUUGACGGUACCUAAUCAGAAAGCCACGGCUAACUACGU
rnacentral:rRNA from 1 species